CUCACCCCUAGAAGAUACAGAAAGCUGAGUAUGGAGCAGUAUCAGUAGCAAGACAAAUGGCAACCUUAUUCUAGCUGUGAAUAUGAUAUCAAAUCUGGAUGCUGCAUUUUAAGUAGAACAUUGAAAAAUUAUAAAGUGCUCAGUAUGUGAAGACUGGAAAUAAUCUCCAACACGCAAUAAGAAAGAUGUGGGAUAAUUUUGCCUGGAGAAGAUAAAGCUAAGAAGAAUAUGGGAAUGAUCUUCAAAUAUCUGGAGAGCUGUUAUGAAAAAAGUGAGCCCAUUUUGGGUAGGGGCACCCACAGUGGAGUUAGAGCUGAAGCACUGGCUGUGAUCCCCACCUGCCACUCACUGACUAGAAGACUUUGGACCAUUUACCUAAUCUCUCUGUGGCACACAGCGUUGUCCAAAAAGUGGCUGCAAUAAUGCCUCUGGUCCUACUUGCUCUUUGAUUCCAUCAAGAGAUAGGGUCUCCGUCCUCUUCUUUUGACCUUGAGUGGGCCUGUAUGACUGCACUGACUAGAAGAGCACAGUAGAAAUGAUGCUAUGUGACUUCCAAGACUAUGUCAAAAAAGCCAUUUGGCUUCUGCCUGGCUCUGUCUUGCAGCACUUGCUUUUGGAGCCCUGAGCCACCAUGUUGAGAAACCCAGAUACCCUGAUGCUGCCAUGCCGAGAGACAAGUGGAGAGACUAUAUGGAGGCGGAGAUGCUCCAGGCACUCCAGCGGCGGUCUGAUUACAACUGUAAGAGAGAUGCUCAGAGAACAGUCGCAAAAAUUGAGAGAUGAUAAAAUGAAUCUGCUAAGGGUAGGAGUGGCUUAUUACAUAGCAAUAGACCACUGGGACAUUCUCUGAGCCUUACUUGUAAAGAGAUUAUGAUCCUGAGCUAUAGAGAGAUUGUUGUACCAGGUAAAUGAGAUGCUCCAUAUCAUGGUUUCAUACCCACACUGAGUACCUUAAUCAUGACUGCUUCACAGGAUGGGAUGGAUACCAGAAGCACAGGAGGCAGAUGUUGGCUUAUCCUGGAAGGAUCAUUUUAGCAUUAGAACUGUCAAACAGGACAGGAGCCACUUCAGGAAGUGUGCCCCAAGGACUGCAGAUAUUUAGGCUGGAUGCUCAUGAAUGUGUCAAGGUUGUCCCUCAUAGGACACUUGUAGUGGGUAAGAGUCAGACAUGCAAGCAGGUGAAACCUUUGAUCCUGGAUUGAACUUGUUUUGCUAUAAUUUUGAAGCUCCUCUUUCUUUAGGCAUGCAUGGAACUAGCAUUGUUAUACCGUACAUGUAUCUCUGUAAACAACCUCAUAUCCUUUUUGUAACAAGACAGAACAGAUAAAAACAAACAGAAACCAUCUACUAAUAUUUAGCAAAAAAAUGACUCUGGGGAUUCCAUAGAAAGCUCAUUCCACAAAUAUUUAAAAUAUGUUAAACAAUAACUCUUAAGUUAUGGUGAGAGUUAAUAAAAGACCUCUG
rnacentral:lncRNA from 10 species